GCUGGCGCAUAGUGGCAUCUGUCGUUCAAGUGUCUUUGCUUUCUGGCACAAAAGUUCACAAACGAAUAGCGGAGGCGUCCCCGGGCUUCGUUGUCAGCCCAACAAUGUGAUAGAGUGGCGAACUUUUCUUUCCUUUAUUUACUAUUAGAAAUAAAGGAUACCAUGAUCCGAAGCAUGUUUUGACAAUACAAAAAAUGUGCCCAUUGUUAAUGUAUGCUUUAUGUAUAUUUUGUGCACCUACAUAUGUAUAUUUAUUCUGCGCUUUGAAGACAGAAACUCAUAUUUAUGUCUUCGCUCUAAAUGCCCCCAGACGUUAACGGCCAAUAAGGCGCAACCCUGGGUUAAAAUGCACAUAAACAAAAUUGGCGGAAUCGCAGAUGGCCAUUGUGUGUAUGUAUAUUUAUUGUUGAAUGAAAAUUAUCGCUCACAGUUUGUCAUAAUUUGUCGUCAGCGGGAAAUGCUCUUAGUGUUGGCCAAAUUGGCCAAGCGGUCGCGACCAAGGUGUGCCAACACUUAACACAAUUUGUGGUUCAAAGAUACUUAAUUUUUGGCACCUUUAUUUUAUAAAUUAAAUCAUUCUUUUAUAUUAAAUGCCUAC
rnacentral:lncRNA from 1 species